GCCAGACUCCUACGGGAGGCAGCAGUGGGGGAUAUUGCACAAUGGGGGGAACCCUGAUGCAGCGACGCCGCGUGGGUGAAGGAGCGUUUCGGCGCGUAAAGCCCUAUCGGCAGGGAAGAAGGAGGACGGUACCUGACUAAGAAGCCCCGGCUAACUACGUGCCAGCAGCCGCGGUAAUACGUAGGGGGCAAGCGUUAUCCGGAUUUACUGGGUGUAAAGGGGGCGCAGACGGCAGCGCAAGCCAGGAGUGAAAGCCCGGGGCCCAACCCCGGGACUGCUCUUGGAACUGCGCGGCUGGAGUGCAGGAGGGGCAGGCGGAAUUCCUGGUGUAGCGGUGAAAUGCGUAGAUAUCAGGAGGAACACCGGUGGCGAAGGCGGCCUGCUGGACUGCGACUGACGUUGAGGCCCGAAAGCGUGGGGAGCAAACAGGAUUAGAUACCCUCGUAGAU
rnacentral:rRNA from 1 species